rnacentral:rRNA from 1 species
CCUACGGGGGGCAGCAGUGAGGAAUAUUGGUCAAUGGCCGGAAGGCUGAACCAGCCAAGCCGCGUGAAGGACGAAGGUGCCAAGCAUUGUAAACUUCUUUUGUCAAGGGACAAAAUCAGGCUCGAGAGCCUGACCGAGGGUACUUGAAGAAAAAGCAUCGGCUAACUCCGUGCCAGCAGCCGCGGUAAUACGGAGGAUGCGAGCGUUAUCCGGUUUUAUUGGGUUUAAAGGGUGCGUAGGCGGGCUGUUAAGUCAGCGGUAAAAGCCCGGGGCUCAACCCCGGCGAGCCGUUGAAACUGUCGGUCUUGAGAUGUCGAGCGGUAUGCGGAAUGCGCAGUGUAGCGGUGAAAUGCUUAGAUAUUGCGCAGAACUCCGAUUGCGAAGGCAGCAUACCGGCGGCGAUCUGACGCUGAGGCACGAAAGCGUGGGUAUCGAACAGGAUUAGAUACCCCGGUAGUC